AAAUGAAUUGACGGGGGCCCGCACAAGCGGUGGAGCAUGUGGUUUAAUUCGACGCAACGCGAAGAACCUUACCUACUCUUGACAUCUACAGAAGACUGCAGAGAUGCGGUUGUGCCUUCGGGAACUGUAAGACAGGUGCUGCAUGGCUGUCGUCAGCUCGUGUUGUGAAAUGUUGGGUUAAGUCCCGCAACGAGCGCAACCCUUAUCCUUAGUUGCCAGCGAUUCGGUCGGGAACUCUAGGGAGACUGCCGGUGAUAAACCGGAGGAAGGUGGGGACGACGUCAAGUCAUCAUGGCCCUUACGAGUAGGGCUACACACGUGCUACAAUGGUAUGUACAGAGGGAGGCGAUGCCGCGAGGCGGAGCGGAUCUCUUAAAGCAUAUCGUAGUCCGGAUCGCAGUCUGCAACUCGACUGCGUGAAGUCGGAAUCGCUAGUAAUCGCAAAUCAGAAUGUUGCGGUGAAUACGUUCCCGGGCCUUGUACACACCGCCCGU
rnacentral:rRNA from 1 species